rnacentral:rRNA from 1 species
UUAGGCUUUGAUCCUGGCUCAGAUUGAACGCUGGCGGCAGGCUUAACACAUGCAAGUCGAGCGGGGAAGGGUAGCUUGCUACCUGACCUAGCGGCGGACGGGUGAGUAAUGCUUAGGAAUCUGCCUAUUAGUGGGGGACAACAUUCCGAAAGGAAUGCUAAUACCGCAUACGCCCUACGGGGGAAAGCAGGGGAUCUUCGGACCUUGCGCUAAUAGAUGAGCCUAAGUCAGAUUAGCUAGUUGGUGGGGUAAAGGCCUACCAAGGCGACGAUCUGUAGCGGGUCUGAGAGGAUGAUCCGCCACACUGGGACUGAGACACGGCCCAGACUCCUACGGGAGGCAGCAGUGGGGAAUAUUGGACAAUGGGCGAAAGCCUGAUCCAGCCAUGCCGCGUGUGUGAAGAAGGCCUUUUGGUUGUAAAGCACUUUAAGCGAGGAGGAGGCUACCGAGAUUAAUACUCUUGGAUAGUGGACGUUACUCGCAGAAUAAGCACCGGCUAACUCUGUGCCAGCAGCCGCGGUAAUACAGAGGGUGCGAGCGUUAAUCGGAUUUACUGGGCGUAAAGCGUGCGUAGGCGGCUUUUUAAGUCGGAUGUGAAAUCCCUGAGCUUAACUUAGGAAUUGCAUUCGAUACUGGGAAGCUAGAGUAUGGGAGAGGAUGGUAGAAUUCCAGGUGUAGCGGUGAAAUGCGUAGAGAUCUGGAGGAAUACCGAUGGCGAAGGCAGCCAUCUGGCCUAAUACUGACGCUGAGGUACGAAAGCAUGGGGAGCAAACAGGAUUAGAUACCCUGGUAGUCCAUGCCGUAAACGAUGUCUACUAGCCGUUGGGGCCUUUGAGGCUUUAGUGGCGCAGCUAACGCGAUAAGUAGACCGCCUGGGGAGUACGGUCGCAAGACUAAAACUCAAAUGAAUUGACGGGGGCCCGCACAAGCGGUGGAGCAUGUGGUUUAAUUCGAUGCAACGCGAAGAACCUUACCUGGUCUUGACAUAGUAAGAACUUUCCAGAGAUGGAUUGGUGCCUUCGGGAACUUACAUACAGGUGCUGCAUGGCUGUCGUCAGCUCGUGUCGUGAGAUGUUGGGUUAAGUCCCGCAACGAGCGCAACCCUUUUCCUUAUUUGCCAGCGGGUUAAGCCGGGAACUUUAAGGAUACUGCCAGUGACAAACUGGAGGAAGGCGGGGACGACGUCAAGUCAUCAUGGCCCUUACGACCAGGGCUACACACGUGCUACAAUGGUCGGUACAAAGGGUUGCUACCUAGCGAU